UCAUGUUUCAGGCUGUGAGGUCCUGGAAAUAUUCCAACUCGAAGUACAAUGCAUCUACCACUGGAUUCCAAUAGAGAAUUGAUCAGUCUGGUACAUCUCAAAUUAAUUUCUACUGAAGUACUCUUAUGUUGAUUUGUUUAUUAUGUGC